AGGCCAGCUAGCUAAUCUGCUUAUCUGACUAUGUUUCUGCAGUAAUGUAGAAAGAUGUGGCAACAGCAAUGCCAUUUCAUGAGCCUUAAGGACAACUGAGGUCAUUAUGGUCCUUCAAAAUGGCUAUAAUA
ensembl:snoRNA